rnacentral:rRNA from 1 species
CCUACGGGUGGCAGCAGUGGGGAAUAUUGCGCAAUGGGCGAAAGCCUGACGCAGCGACGCCGCGUGAGGGAUGAAGGUCUUCGGAUCGUAAACCUCUGUCAGCAGGGAAGAAGGGUCACUGUGCUAAUCAGCAGUGAAUUGACGGUACCUGAAAAGGAAGCACCGGCUAACUCCGUGCCAGCAGCCGCGGUAAUACGGAGGGUGCGAGCGUUAAUCGGAAUUACUGGGCGUAAAGCGCUCGUAGGCGGUAUGUCAAGUCAAGGGUGAAAGCCCCGCGCUCAACGUGGGAACUGCCUUUGAAACUGGCAAACUGGAGUGUCUGAGAGGAUAGUGGAAUUCCAGGUGUAGGAGUGAAAUCCGUAGAUAUCUGGAGGAACACCAGUGGCGAAGGCGACUAUCUGGCACAUAACUGACGCUGAGGAGCGAAAGCGUGGGUAGCAAACAGGAUUAGAUACCCUGGUAGUC